rnacentral:rRNA from 1 species
GUGAGGAAUAUUGGACAAUGGGCGCAAGCCUGAUCCAGCCAUGCCGCGUGCAGGAAGACGCAUCUAUGGUGUGUAAACUGCUUUUGUACGGGAAGAAACACUCCCUCGUGAGGGAGCUUGACGGUACCGUAAGAAUAAGGAUCGGCUAACUCCGUGCCAGCAGCCGCGGUAAUACGGAGGAUCCAAGCGUUAUCCGGAAUCAUUGGGUUUAAAGGGUCCGUAGGCGGUUUAAUAAGUCAGUGGUGAAAGCCCAUCGCUCAACGAUGGAACGGCCAUUGAUACUGUUAGACUUGAAUUACAAGGAAGUAACUAGAAUAUGUAGUGUAGCGGUGAAAUGCCUAGAUAUUACAUGGAAUACCAAUUGCGAAGGCAGGUUACUACUUGUGGAUUGACGCUGAUGGACGAAAGCGUGGGGAGCGAACAGGAUUAGAAACCCCGGUAGUCC